UCAGCACGCGGUGACAGAACUGUACCCGUAGUUUCGCCCGAUUUGAAACGUACGGAAUGAACUAUUAUACUUUACCUAUUUGUGCUUAAAUAAGUAGCACGGGAACAUAUUUCAUCGCUCGUAUCGGCAACAAAUAUGAUCACAUGCAACUUCUUACUGAUGAUGUACGGACACAUGUAAAGUGGCAAGAGUUCAAAAGAGCUCAAUGGUUUUUUCCAUGUUUCGCCCUGAUGCUCUGAUGGCAGGAUCACAGGACCUUACUUAUUAUUAAAUGAAAAGAUAUUCACCUAAUGUGAUGCUAAAGAAAUAUUUAUUUCCAAGCUUGAGACGCCUUACAACAAGUAUACAAAUAUAAUAAUACAUGCUUAACCGAAAAGAAAAAACUGAAACUUGAACUUUAAUUGAAGACAAAUUAUAAAUGUACCUAAUAAAAUAUUGAAAAAAGGCCUUGAUUAAAGAAUAUGGUCAAAUAGUCGAAGAGCACACUUGUCGAAAAGGCUGCGCGUUACAAUUGGAA